UUCUGGCACGUUUGAAAUAAAUGCAAUUCAUCUAAUGUUUGAAUGUAAAUUUACACAAUCAUGUAAUUAUAAACAUUUAGCAUGUUUUAAAAACUGGAAGAAAUGUUUAUAAGUGCAACAUACGGUAUUUUUGGACAAGAAAUCAAUUUUUCUUACACUUUUAAAAUUCAAAUGAAGUAAAACAAGAAAUCAAUCUGGUUGACGCAACAAUGACAAUCUGUUACACAGAAUAAUAGUGGUGCAUUUCUUUCCAGUGGGUCUCAAUCAACACUGAUUUACAGAAAUCUUGAUACCAAAAUUUAGCUGAAAUACCUGACGUAAGAACAACAAGGUAAUCUCGAUCACUGGGAUAAAGGCGAGACGAAACCAACGACAAGUAACCUUUAUAAUCAAAAGGGUCAAAACGAACACAAAAGAUAUGUUGGAUAAACGUCAUAUAUGUCAACCACUAAUCAAAGGGAACUAUAGGGCAAUAUACAGCUUUCAGCAGAAGACAGGAGCCUAGACAAUACAUCAAACUCUCAAUCUGGACUCGAAACAAAUUACCCAUUGUCUAUGAAAAUAAAAAAAUAUAUGCAUGGUGUUAUGAAAAUAUUUCGUCCACUAAAGGGUCGAUAUGACAAAAAUAAAUUACAUAAAACCACCAU